rnacentral:tRNA from 1 species
GACUUCGUGGCGCAAUUGGUAGCGCGUCCGACUCCAGAUCGGAAGGCUGCGUGUUCAAAUCACGUCGAGGUCA